rnacentral:rRNA from 1 species
UGUGAACUGUAAGACGUAUGAUGAGGUCUUUGGCCAAGUCAUCGUCUGCCCAUUUUUAACAAACAAUUAAUGUAACAAACGUAGUCUUAUUAUAACCUAAUAAAACUUUCAACAACGGAUCUCUUGGCUCUCGCAUCGAUGAAGAACGCAGCGAAAUGCGAUAAGUAAUGUGAAUUGCAGAAUUCAGUGAAUCAUCGAAUCUUUGAACGCACCUUGCGCUCUUUGGUAUUCCGAAGAGCAUGCCUGUUUGAGUGUCAUGAAAAUAUCAACCUUGACUUGGGUUUUGUGCUCUAGUCUUGGCUUGGAAUUGGGUGCUUGCCGCUUUUACGAGCGGCUCACCUUAAAUGUAUUAGCUGGAUCUGUCUUUGAGACUUGGUUUGACUUGGCGUAAUAAGUAUUUCGCUAAGGACAUUCUUCGGAGUGGCCUCGUUUCUAGGACGCUUGUCCGCUUCCCAAUACAAGUUCCACCUCGUGGACAUGACUUUUUUAUUAUCUGGCCUCAAAUCAGGUAGGACUACCCGCUGAACUUAAGCAUAUCAAUAAGCGGAGG